rnacentral:rRNA from 1 species
GAUGAACGCUGGCGGCGUGCCUAAUACAUGCAAGUCGAGCGAAUGGAUUAAGAGCUUGCUCUUAUGAAGUUAGCGGCGGACGGGUGAGUAACACGUGGGUAACCUGCCCAUAAGACUGGGAUAACUCCGGUAAACCGGGGCUAAUACCGGAUAACAUUUUGAACCGCCUUGUUCGAAAUUGAAAGGCGGCUUCGGCUGUCACUUAUGGAUGGACCCGCGUCGCAUUAGCUAGUUGGUGAGGUAACGGCUCACCAAGGCAACGAUGCGUAGCCGACCUGAGAGGGUGAUCGGCCACACUGGGACUGAGACACGGCCCAGACUCCUACGGGAGGCAGCAGUAGGGAAUCUUCCGCAAUGGACGAAAGUCUGACGGAGCAACGCCGCGUGAGUGAUGAAGGCUUUCGGGUCGUAAAACUCUGUUGUUAGGGAAGAACAAGUGCUAGUUGAAUAAGCUGACACCUUGACGGUACCUAACCAGAAAGCCACGGCUAACUACGUGCCAGCCGCCGCAGUAA